AAAGUCGCUGACUGGCUCUUCCAGCUAUUCUGAGUUCCAAUGGCUGUUUCCUGGACAAUAAACUGGACUACAUUUGACAUGGCUCAGCAACAGCGUUCCGGACACCAUCAUUCACCUUGACAGACUCGCCUCAUGUCGACAGAAAUGCUUCCCUCUGUGCACCAUCGCCCUGGAGGAACACUGUUUCAUUUCACUCUGUACUGUACCAGCUGUAUAUGUUUGAAAUGACAAUAAAGCCACUUGACCUAA